rnacentral:rRNA from 1 species
UCAGUCGACUCCUACGGGGAGCAGCAGUGGGAAUAUUGCACAAGUCGGGGAAACCCUGAUGCAGCCAUGCCGCGUGUGUGAAGAAGCCGUUCGGGUUGUAAAGCACUUUCAGGUAGGGAGGAAGGUAGUGUAGUUAACACCUGCAUUAUUUGACGUUACCUACAGAAGAAGCACCGGCUAACUCCGUGCCAGCAGCCGACGGUAAUACGGGAGGGUGCGAGCGUUAAUCGGAAUUACGUGGGACGUAAAGCGCAUGCAGGCGGCCUAGUUAAGUCAGAUGUAGAAACGCCGGGGCUUAACCUCGGAAUUGCAUUUGAAACUGGCAGGCUAGAGUCUUGUAGAGGGGGGUAGGAAUUUCAGGUGUAGCGGUGAAAUGCGUAGAGAUCUGAAGGAAUACCAGUGGCGAAGGCGGCCCCCUGGACAAAGACUGACGCUCAGAUGCGAAAGCGUGGGGAGCAAACAGGAUUAGAUACCCUGGUAG